UGGGGAAUAUUGCACAAUGGGCGCAAGCCUGAUGCAGCCAUGCCGCGUGUGUGAAGAAGGCCUUCGGGUUGUAAAGCACUUUCAGCGGGGAGGAAGGCGUUAAGGUUAAUAACCUUGGCGAUUGACGUUACCCGCAGAAGAAGCACCGGCUAACUCCGUGCCAGCAGCCGCGGUAAUACGGAGGGUGCAAGCGUUAAUCGG
rnacentral:rRNA from 1 species